AUUGAACGCUGGCGGCAGGCCUAACACAUGCAAGUCGAGCGGUUGCAGGGAGCUUGUUCCUGGAUUCAGCGGCGGACGGGUGAGGAAUGCCUAUGAAUCUGCCUGGUCGUGGGGGAUAAGGUCCGCUACCGGGAGCGGUUACCACUUCCGCCCAGAGGCGGAAGGCGGAGGAUCUUGGCACUCCAGCCUAUUGGCUUCGCCUAGGUCGGAUUAGCUAGUAGGUGGGGUAAAGGCCUACCAAGGCGACGAUCCGUAACUGGUCUGAGAGGAUGAUCAGUCACACUGGAACUGAGACACGGUCCAGACUCCUACGGGAGGCAGCAGUGGGGAAUAUUGGACAAUGGGCGAAAGCCUGAUGCAGCCAUGCCGCGUGUGUGAAGAAGGUCUUCGGAUUGUAAAGCACUUUAAGUUGGGAGGAAGGGCAGUAAGUUAAUACCUUGCUGUAUUGACGUUACCAACAGAAUAAGCACCGGCUAACUUCGUG
rnacentral:rRNA from 1 species